rnacentral:rRNA from 1 species
UACGUAGGGUGCGAGCGUUGUCCGGAAUUAUUGGGCGUAAAGAGCUCGUAGGCGGUUUGUCGCGUCGAAUGUGAAAACCCGGGGCUCAACCCCGGGCCUGCAUUCGAUACGGGCAGACUAGAGUUCGGUAGGGGGAGUCUGGAAUUCCUGGUGUAGCGGUGAAAUGCGCAGAUAUCAGGAGGAACACCGGUGGCGAAGGCGGUUCUCUGGGCAUGUCCUGACGCUGAGGAGCGAAAGUGUGGGGAGCGAACAGGA